rnacentral:rRNA from 1 species
UGCAAGUCGAGCGGAAACGAAGAGGUGCUUGCACCUCUGGCGUCGAGCGGCGGACGGGUGAGUAAUGCUUGGGAAUAUGCCUUAUGGUGGGGGACAACAGUUGGAAACGACUGCUAAUACCGCAUGAUGUCUACGGACCAAAGUGGGGGACCUUCGGGCCUCACGCCAUAAGAUUAGCCCAAGUGGGAUUAGCUAGUUGGUGAGGUAAUGGCUCACCAAGGCGACGAUCCCUAGCUGGUUUGAGAGGAUGAUCAGCCACACUGGGACUGAGACACGGCCCAGACUCCUACGGGAGGCAGCAGUGGGGAAUAUUGCACAAUGGGCGCAAGCCUGAUGCAGCCAUGCCGCGUGUGUGAAGAAGGCCUUCGGGUUGUAAAGCACUUUCAGUAAGGAGGAAAGGUUAAGUGUUAAUAGCACUUAGCUGUGACGUUACUUACAGAAGAAGCACCGGCUAACUCCGUGCCAGCAGCCGCGGUAAUACGGAGGGUGCGAGCGUUAAUCGGAAUUACUGGGCGUAAAGCGUACGCAGGCGGUUUGUUAAGCGAGAUGUGAAAGCCCCGGGCUCAANCUGGGAACUGCAUUCCGAACUGGCAAACUA